rnacentral:rRNA from 1 species
UAGGGAAUCUUCGGCAAUGGGGGGAACCCUGACCGAGCAACGCCGCGUGAGUGAAGAAGGUUUUCGGAUCGUAAAGCUCUGUUGUUAAGGAAGAGCGAGUGUGAGAGUGGAAAGUUCACACUGUGACGGUAUCUUACCAGAAAGGGACGGCUAACUACGUGCCAGCAGCCGCGGUAAUACGUAGGUCCCGAGCGUUGUCCGGAUUUAUUGGGCGUAAAGCGAGCGCAGGCGGUUAGAUAAGUCUGAAGUUAAAGGCUGUGGCUUAACCAUAGUACGCUUUGGAAACUGUUUAACUUGAGUGCAAGAGGGGAGAGUGGAAUUCCAUGUGUAGCGGUGAAAUGCGUAGAUAUAUGGAGGAACACCGGUGGCGAAAGCGGCUCUCUGGCUUGUAACUGACGCUGAGGCUCGAAAGCGUGGGGAGCAAACAGGAUUAGAUACCCUGGUAGUCCACGCCGUAAACGAUGAGUGCUAGGUGUUAGACCCUUUCCGGGGUUUAGUGCCGCAGCUAACGCAUUAAGCACUCCGCCUGGGGAGUACGACCGCAAGGUUG